rnacentral:rRNA from 1 species
AGCAGCAGCCGCGGUAAUACGGAGGGUGCAAGCGUUAAUCGGAAUUACUGGGCGUAAAGCGCACGCAGGCGGUCUGUCAAGUCAGAUGUGAAAUCCCCGGGCUUAACCUGGGAACUGCAUUUGAAACUGGCAGGCUAGAGUCUUGUAGAGGGGGGUAGAAUUCCAGGUGUAGCGGUGAAAUGCGUAGAGAUCUGGAGGAAUACCGGUGGCGAAGGCGGCCCCCUGGACAAAGACUGACGCUCAGGUGCGAAAGCGUGGGGAGCAAACAGGAUUAGAUACCCGCGUAGUCCCUGUCUCUUAUAC